rnacentral:piRNA from 1 species
UUGAGGUGAAAAGUGAAAGGCAAUGGAAGG